CUGUAUAGAUGAAGGCAUAUUUAUAAGCAAGUACCGAAGGGGAAUAGAGAGGGGGGAGUAGGGUAGGAUGAGAGAGGGAGGAGGAGGGAGAAUGACGGUGAAGCAGACAGAGGGGAAGGGUACUCAUCGUAGGGAAGAAACAGCGCCUACGGGUUUCGAUUGUGACUCGGCCCACCCAGCCUCAUGCCAUUUCGAACAUGACUCGGCCCAACAUGGCCUCCCGCCACAGGGCAGGAUGCUGGCCCAUUUAAGCCAACAAUCCCCCCUCCAGUACUUGCAC
rnacentral:lncRNA from 1 species